UACGGAGGGUGCGAGCGUUGUCCGGAAUCAUUGGGCGUAAAGGGCGCGUAGGUGGCCCGGUCAGUUCGUGGUGAAAGCGCGGGGCUCAACCCUGCGUCGGCCAUGAAUACUGCCGCGGCUGGAGCACUGUAGAGGCAGGCGGAAUUCCGGGUGUAGCGGUGGAAUGCGUAGAGAUCCGGAAGAACACCGGUGGCGAAGGCGGCUCACUGGUCCGGUACUGACGCUGAGGUGCGAAAGCGUGGGGAGCAAACAGG
rnacentral:rRNA from 1 species